GCCGUUCAGUCGCUGCCUGCGCCCGAGCCGGUACACAGCAUGAACCCUUCACGACAUGCCAGGAGAGAUUGACAUCCUCAAAAUCGACCGUCCCGGCAAAGAACCGGGCCCGGAUGUAGCUUUUUCCGUCUUGAACGGCGGUUCGCCCGGCGAGCCGAUCCGAGGGAACGGCUACGACCUACGCAACUCCUACCCGUCGGACGGUUUCAAGAAAACAGGCAACGGUUAUGGAAGCAUCGAGGCAAGGAAGUUUCACAACGGCCGGAAAGGCGCCGGGUUGAACGGAUCGAACAUGACGGACGAUUUCGCAAGCACCCUCGACAAGAAGCUUAAAGACCUGGAGGAGGAUUCGAUUAAAAAGAAAAAGUGCAAGAACAGACAGCAACCCGACUCACGGCCCCUUUUCAUCACGACAGUCAAAACUGGAAUAUUUCUCGAUCCUCCUCCCGAGCUAGCCGCGCUUCUCGGCUAUCCAAGGUCCGGCGAGUCUUCUGGGAGCAACAAUUCAGACAAAUCGAGCGAUGGGCUCAUGUACUCUUUUUCCAGUCAGCCACGUGUUUUGAACAAUAGAGCCAAGCCGAAAGCCAACAACGAUAGGCAGAUAAACCAACCCAACAACGAGAGGCUGCAGAUCAAAAACAAUAUCCGACCCAAACGAGAAAUAAUUAAUAGCAAUUUAACGAAAAAACCAGAUAAACCUUCGCCCGAUGUCAUACCUUACGGAAAUGUCAUGUACGACAGGAGGGUCGUACGCGGACCGGCUUUCAUGCACCAUCCCCUUCCUACGGUGGGCCUGGAAACCCCUGCAGCCAGACAGGCCGAGGCGAGAAGAAGGGCUAUGGCGAGGAGAAAAGCCCAAAACACAAGAGCCAAAAACCUCAAGCUUAGACUAGGCACGCCUCCUCCCAUCGAAGGCAGGAAACACGAAGAUAUCCAGACCGAAGAGUAUCUCGAAGAGCUAUUCGAACACCCUGCGACAGACACGGUCUACACGCAAACCGACUACUUCGUAGACCGUCCGCCCACGCCGAAGUUCAUCCCGGCCAAGUCCGGUAUGGACGUGGGCACGCAGAUCUACCCAGGGGAACUCUUCCACUUCGACACGGAGGUCAGGCCCGUCCUGGAAGUCCUGGUAGGCAAGACGGUCGAACAGGCGCUGGUCGAGGUCAUGGAAGAGGACGAGCUCGCGGCCAUCAGGGAACAACAGAGGAGGUUCAAGGAGAUCAGGGACGCCGAAAAGGCAGAGGAGAGCCGCCUGGAAGAAGAGGAACUGCGCAAACGAAGAGAAAUCGAAAUGCGAGUGCUGGAACAGGAAGAGGCGAUCCGGAACCAAAGAGCGACCGAGGACAGAGUGGCAGCUGCUGUGCUCACCACCGGCUACAUCUCCGAUCUUCUUCCAUCGGUCAUCAAAGACCUCAGCAAAGGGGGAUUCUUGUACGACGAGGUUAAAGAAGAGGUGGACGAGAAAUUCAUGCCAUGGUUGAUGAAGGAGGUUAAGACUGAAAUGCAGAAGAUGGUCGAGAAUAGGGACUUGCUCUCAGAAAUACUUAAGGAGAUAAUCGAGACGCGCGCUGAGGUCUACCAAGCUCUCGGGGAACGAGAAGAGAGAAUGCGCGGCAUGCCGGAGUUGGAGGCCGAAGAGGAAGAAAUAGGCCCUCUGCCCCUUGAAGAAAUGGCAGAAGAAGGCGAAGAAGAAGGCCUCGGAGAAGAGACUCUCGACGAAGAGAACCAGCCUGCGGACGCCGACGUCAAACCGACAAUGGCUUAGGAGCCGAGGAAGAUAGGUGGGUGCACGAGGGAAACAUGUUGACAACCAAUGAACAUGGUGAUAAUACCGACAUGGAUUAAACACUACUUUCCGUUCCCUUUUGUUAUUUCUGGUGCCUAUAUAGUUUAUAAAAUAAAUAAAUUUUAUAUUA